ensembl:lncRNA
CCCGAGCGGGUCCCGCCGCGCAACAGGUGUCGGCGGCGCGCAGCAGCCGCGCAACCCGGCCCGGCCCCUCCGCGCCAGACAGCGCGCAAAGUCAGCCGGCGCGCUUGGCCGCGCAUGCGCGGUGCGGCGGCGGCAGGCGCGGUACCUGCCGGCCCCGAGCCGGGAUGCGGCUGGAGCGCGUUUGGCAGCUGGCGCGCCGGGCUCCGUCGGGAAAGCCCGGGGCUGUGUUCUGCGUGUCUUGAGGGCACUUCGCACUUUGAAAGGGAAAGGCAACUCUGUCAAUAUUUCCUUUCCCUCACCUGUUCCUUUUGCAUAUCACCUUCUCGCAAACCUUGUGAAGACAGAACAGCUCCAUGAGAAGAUCAGGACAGAGCCAGACAUGCAUGAUAUUGCCACUUGGAGAUCUGGGUGAACCCUGAAACCUACCACUUCAUUUGUUCUCUACUUUUCCUACAACAUGAUGCACACCAGCUCUUCUGUUUUUCUAUUUGCUGUGUGCUCCCACAGAUACAUAAUUCUCAUGGUCCAAAGGAAAAUGUAGUUUGAAAGGGUUUACUUCCAGGGCUUUGGGUUUACCUUGAUGAUAUCAAUGCAACACUGGGAUUAGAAACCUAGAAAGAAAGAUUUUUGAAAAGGUUCAGGAUUCCUCAAAGCUUCUGGCACGGUAAGUGUUUCUAAUUAUUAUGGGGAGUGUCACAAUUUAAUUUAACUCACACCUAUACUGACACACUCAUAUAAACCAACAAAUCCUGAGGUCAUCCUUUGUAAAAUUCUCUAGAUUACAUUUCUCUUACUUGCUGACCCUUUCAUGUAAUGAUAUUGUUGGGUGCUUUCUUUUUCUCUCUCUGAGUUGAUAUCUGCAAAACUCAAAUUACUGUAACUGAUAUUUGAAAAUUCUCCCUGUGUCAAGUGAAGACUUAUGGUGCUGAAAUCAAUAAGACUGUUUAAAAUUCAAAGACCUGCAAAUCGUUCUGUUUGUCCUUUGAUAGGGCCUGGGCUGAUUAAAAUGCGACCAAGAAAGCUUAAUUGCUGCACUAAUUAAGAAGUCUUUAAUUUCUUUCCUGGAAUAUUGUUUGAAGCAGGGUUUCUGUUCUGCUCAUGUAGCUGUUCAGGGCAGGUAUUCUUUCUCCCUCUUUUCUUUUCUUUUUGCUAUUUCGGUGUAUUAAAAGGUAUGUUAAAACAGUAAGAUGUAUUGACAGUGAUUGUAAUUUAUUACUCUGAAAAAAAGACUGAAAUGGAGUUCACUAUUUUAUUAAAUUACAAUUUUGAGGGCAGCUGUAAAGGGUAAAAUGCAAUUACCAAAUGCAUUGUAGCUGUUGCAUUUUAAGGAAUUUGAAUACUUGACUGACAGGAGAUGGGAUAGUACACCAGCUCCCUCCCCCAUCUUCGUUAUUAUUGAUAAUUAAAUAUUUAAAUUCAUUCAGUAAGACACCCCAGAAAAGUAUUUAUCUUCUGAAUGUGUGUGAAGGAAUGGACCGGGGGAGGGGAUGCGUAUAGAAAAUAGGCACCUGGUAAGGAUGAACAGUGUAUUAUCAUGUUAAGUUCAUCCACAAUAUUUUUUUUCCCGCAUUUCUUUGGAAUUUAUUUUCCUGAGAAAUAUCUCUCUGUCUUGUAUCUUGUCUUACCCUUCUUUAGUGACCUAUUUUGUUCAGUGUUUCUGAAGAGGAGAAACUAGAUGAUUUCACAAAGCUUUCUGUGUGAUCAAUAGAGUAAUGUUUUAGGUUUUAUCAAGCUGCAUUAUAAUUCUGGCAAACAACUGUCGAGCAGAGAUUCUAAGAAAGGAGCAAGUACUGGCAAAGAGAAGGUAAGUUCUGCUUUGCUUUAAUCUCAGGUCUCGAGCAACAAUCCCCCUUUGAAGAGCUAUCUGCUAUUUAGAGGGAAGACUGAGAAAGAGGGAGGGACCUCAUACAGAAUCCCCCCUGCAUCGCUCAGUAAAAUAGACUCAUAGAAACAGAAGUGUGUGAAAAGGGAUCCCUUUUUGCUUCUCUUCCACCAAGACAUUUAUUAAACAUUGACAAACACCAUGAAUACAAUUGAGAUUGAUGUGUAAUGUUGUAUCAGUAGUAAGAAACUGGAUACUGCAGUGCUGUUUUUCUAAUUGUUGUGUUAUAGUCAAAGUAGCACAAAACCUUGUCCAGUACAAAUACAAACUGGAUUCCUUUCAGUGACAGGACAAGUAGAUAACAUGCUUAAUAGAUACAAAGGGAGAUUUGCCAUUCCAAGCACGAUGUCACGCUAAUUAUGUUUACUCUAAUUGAAAGCAAGGUUUUGGGGAACCUGAAAUUACUCAUAGGAUAUUUUUAAUAGCUGAAUAAUAAUAAAGUGCAGCAAACGUUGAUCA